rnacentral:rRNA from 1 species
UUAAGCGACUAAGCGUACACGGUGGAUGCCCUGGCAGUCAGAGGCGAUGAAGGACGUGCUAAUCUGCGAUAAGCGUCGGUAAGGUGAUAUGAACCGUUAUAACCGGCGAUUUCCGAAUGGGGAAACCCAGUGUGUUUCGACACACUAUCAUUAACUGAAUCCAUAGGUUAAUGAGGCGAACCGGGGGAACUGAAACAUCUAAGUACCCCGAGGAAAAGAAAUCAACCGAGAUUCCCCCAGUAGCGGCGAGCGAACGGGGAGCAGCCCAGAGCCUGAAUCAGUGUGUGUGUUAGUGGAAGCGUCUGGAAAGGCGCGCGAUACAGGGUGACAGCCCCGUACACAAAAAUGCACAUACUGUGAGCUCGAUGAGUAGGGCGGGACACGUGGUAUCCUGUCUGAAUAUGGGGGGACCAUCCUCCAAGGCUAAAUACUCCUGACUGACCGAUAGUGAACCAGUACCGUGAGGGAAAGGCGAAAAGAACCCCGGCGAGGGGAGUGAAAAAGAACCUGAAACCGUGUACGUACAAGCAGUGGGAGCCUCUUAAUGGGGUGACUGCGUACCUUUUGUAUAAUGGGUCAGCGACUUAUAUUCUGUAGCAAGGUUAACCGAAUAGGGGAGCCGAAGGGAAACCGAGUCUUAACUGGGCGUUAAGUUGCAGGGUAUAGACCCGAAACCCGGUGAUCUAGCCAUGGGCAGGUUGAAGGUUGGGUAACACUAACUGGAGGACCGAACCGACUAAUGUUGAAAAAUUAGCGGAUGACUUGUGGCUGGGGGUGAAAGGCCAAUCAAACCGGGAGAUAGCUGGUUCUCCCCGAAAGCUAUUUAGGUAGCGCCUCGUGAAUUCAUCUCCGGGGGUAGAGCACUGUUUCGGCAAGGGGGUCAUCCCGACUUACCAACCCGAUGCAAACUGCGAAUACCGGAGAAUGUUAUCACGGGAGACACACGGCGGGUGCUAACGUCCGUCGUGAAGAGGGAAACAACCCAGACCGCCAGCUAAGGUCCCAAAGUCAUGGUUAAGUGGGAAACGAUGUGGGAAGGCCCAGACAGCCAGGAUGUUGGCUUAGAAGCAGCCAUCAUUUAAAGAAAGCGUAAUAGCUCACUGGUCGAGUCGGCCUGCGCGGAAGAUGUAACGGGGCUAAACCAUGCACCGAAGCUGCGGCAGCGACACUAUGUGUUGUUGGGUAGGGGAGCGUUCUGUAAGCCUGUGAAGGUGUACUGUGAGGUAUGCUGGAGGUAUCAGAAGUGCGAAUGCUGACAUAAGUAACGAUAAAGCGGGUGAAAAGCCCGCUCGCCGGAAGACCAAGGGUUCCUGUCCAACGUUAAUCGGGGCAGGGUGAGUCGACCCCUAAGGCGAGGCCGAAAGGCGUAGUCGAUGGGAAACAGGUUAAUAUUCCUGUACUUGGUGUUACUGCGAAGGGGGGACGGAGAAGGCUAUGUUGGCCGGGCGACGGUUGUCCCGGUUUAAGCGUGUAGGCUGAUUUUCCAGGCAAAUCCGGAAAAUCAAGGCUGAGGCGUGAUGACGAGGCACUACGGUGCUGAAGCAACAAAUGCCCUGCUUCCAGGAAAAGCCUCUAAGCAUCAGGUAACAUCAAAUCGUACCCCAAACCGACACAGGUGGUCAGGUAGAGAAUACCAAGGCGCUUGAGAGAACUCGGGUGAAGGAACUAGGCAAAAUGGUGCCGUAACUUCGGGAGAAGGCACGCUGAUAUGUAGGUGAAGUCCCUUGCGGAUGGAGCUGAAAUCAGUCGAAGAUACCAGCUGGCUGCAACUGUUUAUUAAAAACACAGCACUGUGCAAACACGAAAGUGGACGUAUACGGUGUGACGCCUGCCCGGUGCCGGAAGGUUAAUUGAUGGGGUUAGCGGUAACGCGAAGCUCUUGAUCGAAGCCCCGGUAAACGGCGGCCGUAACUAUAACGGUCCUAAGGUAGCGAAAUUCCUUGUCGGGUAAGUUCCGACCUGCACGAAUGGCGUAAUGAUGGCCAGGCUGUCUCCACCCGAGACUCAGUGAAAUUGAACUCGCUGUGAAGAUGCAGUGUACCCGCGGCAAGACGGAAAGACCCCGUGAACCUUUACUAUAGCUUGACACUGAACAUUGAGCCUUGAUGUGUAGGAUAGGUGGGAGGCUUUGAAGUGUGGACGCCAGUCUGCAUGGAGCCGGCCUUGAAAUACCACCCUUUAAUGUUUGAUGUUCUAACGUUGGCCCCUGAUCGGGGUUGCGGACAGUGUCUGGUGGGUAGUUUGACUGGGGCGGUCUCCUCCUAAAGAGUAACGGAGGAGCACGAAGGUUGGCUAAUCCUGGUCGGACAUCAGGAGGUUAGUGCAAUGGCAUAAGCCAGCUUGACUGCGAGCGUGACGGCGCGAGCAGGUGCGAAAGCAGGUCAUAGUGAUCCGGUGGUUCUGAAUGGAAGGGCCAUCGCUCAACGGAUAAAAGGUACUCCGGGGAUAACAGGCUGAUACCGCCCAAGAGUUCAUAUCGACGGCGGUGUUUGGCACCUCGAUGUCGGCUCAUCACAUCCUGGGGCUGAAGUAGGUCCCAAGGGUAUGGCUGUUCGCCAUUUAAAGUGGUACGCGAGCUGGGUUUAGAACGUCGUGAGACAGUUCGGUCCCUAUCUGCCGUGGGCGCUGGAGAACUGAGGGGGGCUGCUCCUAGUACGAGAGGACCGGAGUGGACGCAUCACUGGUGUUCGGGUUGUCAUGCCAAUGGCACUGCCCGGUAGCUAAAUGCGGAAGAGAUAAGUGCUGAAAGCAUCUAAGCACGAAACUUGCCCCGAGAUGAGUUCUCCCUGACUCCUUGAGAGUCCUGAAGGAACGUUGAAGACGACGACGUUGAUAGGCCGGGUGUGUAAGCGCAGCGAUGCGUUGAGCUAACCGGUACUAAUGAACCGUGAGGCUUAACCU